rnacentral:rRNA from 1 species
GGCGAACGGGUGCGUAACACGUGAGCGAUCUACCCUGGUGUGGGGGAUAGCCGGCCCAACGGCCGGGUAAUACCGCAUACGCUCUUUGGGGGGCAUCCCCUGGAGAACAAAGCCUUCGGGCGCAUUGGGAGGGGCUCGCGGCCUAUCAGCUAGUUGGCGAGGUAAUGGCUCACCAAGGCGACGACGGGUAGCUGGUCUGAGAGGAUGGCCAGCCACAUUGGGACUGAGAGACGGCCCAGACUCCUACGGGAGGCAGCAGUGGGGAAUCUUCCGCAAUGGACGAAAGUCUGACGGAGCAACGCCGCGUGAGUGAUGAAGGCUUUCGGGUCGUAAAACUCUGUUGUUAGGGAAGAACAAGUACAAGAGUAACUGCUUGUACCUUGACGGUACCUAGCCAGAAAGCCACGGCUAACUACGUGCCAGCAGCCGCGGUAAUACGUAGGUGGCAAGCGUUAUCCGGAAUUAUUGGGCGUAAAGCGCGCGCAGGCGGUUUCUUAAGUCUGAUGUGAAAGCCCACGGCUCAACCGUGGAGGGUCAUUGGAAACUGGGGAACUUGAGUGCAGAAGAGAAAAGCGGAAUUCCACGUGUAGCGGUGAAAUGCGUAGAGAUGUGGAGGAACACCAGUGGCGAAGGCGGCUUUUUGGUCUGUAACUGACGCUGAGGCGCGAAAGCGUGGGGAGCAAACAGGAUUAGAUACCCUGGUAGUCC